GAUGAACGCUGGCGGCGUGCCUAACACAUGCAAGUCGAACGGAGUCGUUUUGGAAAUCUCUUCGGAGAUGGAAUUCUCGACUUAGUGGCGGACGGGUGAGUAACGCGUGAGCAAUCUGCCUUUAAGAGGGGGAUAACAGUCGGAAACGGCUGCUAAUACCGCAUAAAGCAUUAAAUUCGCAUGUUUUUGAUGCCAAAGGAGCAAUCCGCUUUUAGAUGAGCUCGCGUCUGAUUAGCUAGUUGGCGGGGUAACGGCCCACCAAGGCGACGAUCAGUAGCCGGACUGAGAGGUUGAACGGCCACAUUGGGACUGAGACACGGCCCAGACUCCUACGGGAGGCAGCAGUGGGGAAUAUUGCGCAAUGGGGGAAACCCUGACGCAGCAACGCCGCGUGAUUGAAGAAGGCCUUCGGGUUGUAAAGAUCUUUAAUCAGGGACGAAACAAAUGACGCUACCUGAAGAAUAAGCUCCGGCUAACUACGUG
rnacentral:rRNA from 1 species